rnacentral:lncRNA from 1 species
UGAACUGCCUAUAUAUUUUUAUUUCUUUUUCCGACUCUGAAAUUUAAAGAAAUGAAAUUAAACAAAUAGGAAAAUCCAAAAAAAAAUGAGAAACAGAGGUUCAAAAGAAGAUCCUCUUGAAACUUCCUAAGUCUCGAGCAAUUUUUUUCUGAAAAAUUCUCCGAAAACUCUCUCCGAAAAUCCUCUAAAAAAAAAAUCCCCCUUACACAAGAAAUGACCUCACCUUAUAUAUACCUCCAGGCUUCUCGAACCUUCUCCUUUUAUCUCCAAGAAAUACCCAAAACAAAAAUCCUCCUCCCAAAACAGAUUUCUCACCCCGUUUUUGAUGAAAGAGAGACAAAUGGAGGGAGUAGAUUAGUUCAAAUCUAAUCUAACGCUCCCUAUUUUUCCUUAUUUUCAUCUGGAGGGUGAAAAAUCUGAGAUAAAUCAAAGAAGCAUGUAAGGGGAAAGGGAAUCUAUCAGAAACGGUUAGAAAUAUGGUGACGGGGAGAGAGGGGAACGCGUGAGGUGAGAUUGGGGCUCACUCGCCUGAAUUUUGGCAAUUUUUUGGGAGUGAAUUCGGGUGUU